rnacentral:rRNA from 1 species
GAUGAACGCUGGCGGCGUGCUUAACACAUGCAAGUCGAACGAUGAAGCCCAGCUUGCUGGGUGGAUUAGUGGCGAACGGGUGAGUAACACGUGAGUAACCUGCCCUUAACUCUGGGAUAAGCCUGGGAAACUGGGUCUAAUACCGGAUAGGAGCGUCCACCGCAUGGUGGGUGUUGGAAAGAUUUAUCGGUUUUGGAUGGACUCGCGGCCUAUCAGCUUGUUGGUGAGGUAUGGCUCACCAAGGCGACGACGGGUAGCCGGCCUGAGAGGGUGACCGGCCACACUGGGACUGAGACACGGCCCAGACUCCUACGGGAGGCAGCAGUGGGGAAUAUUGCACAAUGGGCGAAAGCCUGAUGCAGCGACGCCGCGUGAGGGAUGACGGCCUUCGGGUUGUAAACCUCUUUCAGUAGGGAAGAAGCGAAAGUGACGGUACCUGCAGAAGAAGCACCGGCUAACUACGUG